AUUGAACGCUGGCGGCAUGCCUUACACAUGCAAGUCGAACGGCAGCACGGGAGCAAUCCUGGUGGCGAGUGGCGAACGGGUGAGUAAUAUAUCGGAACGUGCCCAGUCGUGGGGGAUAACGUAGCGAAAGCUACGCUAAUACCGCAUACGAUCUAUGGAUGAAAGCGGGGGAUCGCAAGACCUCGCGCGAUUGGAGCGGCCGAUAUCAGCUAGUUGGUGGGGUAAAGGCUCACCAAGCCAACGAUCUGUAGCUGGUCUGAGAGGACGACCAGCCACACUGGGACUGAGACACGGCCCAGACUCCUACGGGAGGCAGCAGUGGGGAAUUUUGGACAAUGGGCGCAAGCCUGAUCCAGCAAUGCCGCGUGCAGGAAGAAGGCCUUCGGGUUGUAAACUGCUUUUGUACGGAACGAAACGGCGAGCUCUAAUACAGUUUGCUAAUGACGGUACCGUAAGAAUAAGCACCGGCUAACUACGUGCCAGCCGCCGCCGUAA
rnacentral:rRNA from 1 species